UUGCCCAAGGACCACUGAGGGGAAACGAUGCAGGUGUGACCAGCGGAGGAAGACUGCAGUGUGACUUCAUCAUCCACAUAGUGGGCCCGAGAACUGUGGAGCAGGCUGUUGAGCGUGUGAAGAAUGUGCUGAAGCACUGCGAGGAUAGAUGGAUCACCUCCGUGUCAUUCCCUGCCAUUGGAACUGGCGGUUGUGGAAUGAAGUUCACAGAAUCUGUUACUGCCCUGCUAUUGGGCAUUGAAACCCAUUUAUCAAAGCAUAAAUUCAGUGCUCUGAAGCAGAUCUUCCUAGUGGUUGACCAGGUCAAGGCGAUGCAAGAGGGUCAGCAGGUCUUCCAAGCCUGGACACAAGGUACGGCUGAUGAUGAUGACAGCAGUAAUGACUCUUCCUGUGACGAAGAUGGAGGAG